CAGAGGGCAAGUCUGGUGCCAGCAGCCGCGGUAAUUCCAGCUCCAAUAGCGUAUAUUAAAGUUGUUGCAGUUAAAAAGCUCGUAGUUGAAUUUCGGGGUCAGUAGGUUGGUCAUGCCACUGGUAUGUACUGAUCUUACUGAUUCCUCCUUCCUGAUGAACCGUAAUGCCAUUAAUUUGGUGUUGCGGGGAGACUGGACUGUUACUUUGAAAAAAUUAGAGUGUUUAAAGCAGGCUAACGCUUGAAUACAUUAGCAUGGAAUAAUGAAAUAGGACGUUCGAUCCUAUUUUGUUGGUUUCUAGGAUAGACGUAAUGAUUAAUAGGGAUAGUUGGGGGCAUUAGUAUUCAAUUGUCAGAGGUGAAAUUCUUGGAUUUAUUGAAGACUAACUACUGCGAAAGCAUUUGCCAAGGAUGUUUUCAUUAAUCAGGAACGAAAGUUAGGGGAUCGAAGACGAUCAUAUUCCGUCGAAGUCUUAACCAUAAACUAUGCCAACUAGGGAUCGGAUGAUGUUAAUUUUUUAAUGACU
rnacentral:rRNA from 1 species